rnacentral:rRNA from 1 species
UACCAGCACCCCGAGUGGUCGGGACGUUUAUUGGGCCUAAAGCAUCCGUAGCCGGUUCUGCAAGUCUUCCGUUAAAUCCACCUGCUUAACAGGUGGGCUGCGGAAGAUACUAUAGAGCUAGGAGGCGGGAGAGGCAAGCGGUACUCGAUGGGUAGGGGUAAAAUCCGUUGAUCCAUUGAAGACCACCAGUGGCGAAGGCGGCUUGCCAGAACGCGCUCGACGGUGAGGGAUGAAAGCUGGGGGAGCAAACCGG